UUCAGGCGAAGUCAUUGAUCCUAUGCUGCCUAGAAAAGCCCAGCAGCGAGUUGACAUGGUGCCCGUACCCCAAACCAACACAGGUGGACAGGUAGAGCAUACCAAGGCGAGUGGGAUAACUAUGGUUAAGGAACUCGGCAAAUUGCCUCCGUAACUUCGGGAGAAGGAGGACCCCAGUAGCGUGAUGAGACUUGCUCUCUGAGCGUGAAGGGGUGGCACAAAAUUGAGGGAAGCGACUGUUUACCAAAAACACAGCAGCGUGCUAAGCCGUAAGGCGCUGUAUACGCUGUGACUCCUGCCCGGUGCUGGAAGGUUACGGGGAUGGGUUAGUCCUUCGGGACGAAGCUCUGAACCUAAGCCCCAGUAAACGGCGGCCGUAACUAUAACGGUCCUAAGGUAGCGAAAUUCCUUGUCGGGUAAGUUCCGACCUGCACGAAUGGAGUAACGACUUCCCUACUGUCUCAACCAUAGACCCAGCGAAAUUGAAGUACGAGUAAAGAUGCUCGUUAGCUGCAGAAGGACGGAAAGACCCCGUGGACCUUUACUAUAACUUGAUGUUGUGUUUUGUCAUAUGUUGUGUAGGAUAGGUGGGAGACUUGGAAGCAUGGACGCUAGUCUGUGUGGAGUCAUCGUAAAAUACCACCCUGCAUAUGGUGAGGCUCUAACCUAGACCCGUUAUCCGGGUUGGGGACAGCGUCAGGCGGGUAGUUUAACUGGGGCGGUUGCCUCCUAAAGAGUAACGGAGGCGCCCAAAGGUUCCCUCAGCCUGGUUGGCAAUCAGGCGUUGAGUGCAAUGGCAAAAGGGAGCUUGACUGCGAGACCUACAAGUCGAGCAGGAGCGAAAGCUGGGCAUAGUGAUCCGGCGGUUGCGUGUGGAAGCGCCGUCGCUCAACGGAUAAAAGGUACCCCGGGGAUAACAGGCUAAUCUUGCCCAAGCGUCCAUAGCGACGGCAAGGUUUGGCACCUCGAUGUCGGCUCAUCGCAUCCUGGGGCUGAAGCAGGUCCCAAGGGUUGGGCUGUUCGCCCAUUAAAGCGGUACGCGAGCUGGGUUCAGAACGUCGUGAGACAGUUCGGUCCCUAUCCUCUGCAGCCGGAGGUGAAUUGAGGAAAGCUGUCCCUAGUACGAGAGGACCGGGACGGACGCAGCUCUCGUGUGCCAGUUGUCCUGCCAAGGGCAUGGCUGGUUAGCGACCUGCGGAAAGGAUAACCGCUGAAAGCAUCUAAGCGGGAAGCCUCUUCCAAGAUGAAUUCACCCACAGGGUUAACCUGGUAAGGCCCGUGGUAGACCACCACGUUGAUAGGCCGGAAGUGUAAGCGUGGCAACACGUUCAGCUGACCGGUACUAAUCGGCCGAGGGCUUGA
rnacentral:rRNA from 1 species